rnacentral:pre_miRNA from 1 species
AAACCGCCCCUUAAGUAUUGCCCCUUUUGCAGUUUUGGCCCCCACAGACUAAUUUUGACCAAGUCAAUGCACACGUGGAUGCCACAUGUGUAAUUUUUUUAUUUUUUUAAUUAAAAAACUAAAAAAAAAAAAAACACGUGUGGCGUCCACGUUAGCUUUGACUUGGUCAAAAUUGGCUUGGGGGUCAAAAUUGCAAAAUGGACAAUACUUAGGGGGCGGUUU